GAGUUAGGCCACAGACUGGAGCCCUGGGAAGAUUGGCGAGUCGAGGUUAUUUGCACUUUUUCAUUUCUGUGUAUAUAUAGUGUAUUUGUGAGAUAUUAUAGAGGGUUAGAGGUCAGAACAUUACAUCACAUAAUGAGUUUCUUUGUCAAUCCGGCGUUCUAUCUUUUCUCUGUAGGUCCUGGUAUUGGUGUAAAGUCUGGAGGUAAGUCUGUCUGCUUGAACCUGAUGGAUGCUGAUGAAUCCAAUUAGCAAUUUGCUUAUGUGAGUACAAAGGUUAUCUCAUCUUUCUUUGAUUUCUGUACUGUCCUAGGUCCAGUGGCUGGUAUCCUCGGAGUCCGUGGCUAUGGGGCAGGCAAGCCAGGAAAAACAGGUUCUGGCCGUUAUCUUGGAGGAGCGGCAUACAGACCCACUGCGAUCAGAGGAGGCCUGAAACAAGGAUAUGGAACACUUGGAGGUUAUGGAGGAGGUAUGUCAUUCCUAAAACUAUAAUGGGCAGAUAUCAGUUUCUACAUCUGAUGGAUUUAUAAUUCUUGCAUCCUUACCAUGGUCCUGCUCUUUUGGUCUUAGCUGCAAACCUUGGAACUGGCCUUGGAACUGGCCUCGGGGCUGCUGGGCUGGGACUCGGCACAGGGUAUGGCCUAGGCAACGGGCUGGGAGCAGCCUUAGGUUAUCCAGCAGGGAAGCUCGGAGGAAGAGGUUACACCAGUAAUGGCUAUGGAGCACAGCUAGGUUAUGGCGCAGGAGGAUACCCCGGCGCUGGACGCGGAUAUGGUGUACCAGCUGGCACACCCACAGGGCAAGGCUCAAAACCAUCAAAACAGGGUGUUGGGCCCAGAGGUGGCCAGUCCGUGUCACAGGGAGAGAGGGGCGAUGGUAAACCUCAGUACCUCCAUGUGUGGCUUUCAUGCUUUUUAAAGCUUUUUCAAUCUGCUCUUCUGGAUUUUUAGUUACAGUAUUUUAGCCAUUUACACUGCAUGACGAGUGGCACAUUGCUUCCUGUUAUCUCACUAUACAAUUCAUGCCUAUCCUGAAAUGUGUUUAUUUUUUUACUUUGCUUUUCUCUCCAGCAGAGUAGCAUCUCUUAUGCUCUUGCAACAGUAGCAGCUGCUAUGUUGAGAGAGUAUCUUGGUGAAUGUUAACUGGUGUUAUGGUGUUUAGGUUACAGUCGCGGAUGGGUCCCUAAUGGACAGGAUGCUAUAGCCAAUGGUAAAACUCAUCCCAGAUGUAUGUGGGACUUCAUAUUUGAAAGAUUAAUUGUUGUAUAAUAUGAUUGACAUAGUUGUAGUAUACAGUCGAGUGUAUAUCUGCUUGUUAAGCCGUGACAUGAGGAAAAACUGUUUCUGUGUCCAAGUCUCUGCUCGUUUCAGUUGAGAAUCUCAACAGCUGUUUAUGAACACUGUUUAUUCAUAUGACACAUUAAGUUAAUCUUUUAAAAACUCAUGGCCUACACUACAGUAUCCUGGAUAUUUAAGGAUUUAUAAACAGUGGCCAUCUGAGAUUUAGUUAUUAAGAGAAAGGUUAGGAUCAUGAUUUUUUUUUUUUUGUAGCAUUACAGCAUGCCGUGAGUGAUUAUUACCACUAUUUACUGUUUGCUUUUGGCAUCUACUAGAAUAUUUGGACAUCGGAAACAGUGACAUGAGAUGUCAGACUUAUCAAGCAGAUAGUUAGUAUACAGUUGUGUACAGUGUCCUCUUAUGGCACAGGCAAGUCUAAAUUUUGGGUUUUAAGUGGUCAUGAAUGACUGUGGGACUAAUAUAGUAACUGUAGCUGCGGUCAAUAGGUUUCCCCUCAG
ensembl:lncRNA